UACGUAGGGGGCAAGCGUUGUCCGGAUUCAUUGGGCGUAAAGAGCUCGUAGGCGGCUUGGCAAGUCGGGUGUGAAACCUCCAGGCUCAACCUGGAGACGCCACCCGAUACUGCCAUGGCUAGAGUCCGGUAGGGGACCACGGAAUUCCUGGUGUAGCGGUGAAAUGCGCAGAUAUCAGGAGGAACACCGGUGGCGAAGGCGGUUCUCUGGGCAUGUCCUGACGCUGAGGAGCGAAAGUGUGGGGAGCGAACAGG
rnacentral:rRNA from 1 species